CUUUUCUCCGGUAGACCUCCAGACAUUCCUGCUCUAAUUCUAGUAGAACCUUCUCUCUUUCUGACUGAUCUUCUCCAACUUCAUUCCAUAUCAUCUAUUCCAUUACAUAUCACAAGGAGGCGCUUGGAACGAUCCCAUCCUUUCUGUAUACCGGUGAUGACUACUGCUGGGAGACUUGAAACUGCUAAAAAGCUGGAUGCUUUGGCUAGGACGCUUGGACUAAAGGGUGGAACUUUUUGGUUUGAGUUCUUUGAUGAGCAACCAAACCAUGUUGUGAGAAAGAAUAAUGGGGUUUGAGCUGUUUGCUUAAAAGACAAGGCUGACAGAGUUAGGUGCUAGUGAAGCUUUGGGUUCAAGGGUCAUCCGUUUUUGUGGAUUUUCCAGCUCCAGCUUUUCCCUCUUUUUAUUUUCAAUUUAAAUAUGAAAAAGAAGACAAUAUGACUCUCCAUCUUAAUAAAUUAAGCUGAGGUUCCUUUAUAAAUAAAGUGAUGUAACCUGCUUACUUGAGAUGGAACAGUUUUGCAAUCCAUUGUUAGAAUGUCAGAGUCAGGAAAAAGGAACUUCAGAAAUGGAUGAUGAAGCCCCAUUGCAAUGGCUAGGAGAUUCGGAACCAUCUGAUCCCAUGGUUCAACCUUGAGGUACUUAUCUCUCCCUCUAUGAUGAUUAGCUACCUAAUUGUGAAGUUAAGAUAUUCCAAAUUUGCAAUAAUGUUAAAGAUUCCUUGCAUAAUUUGGAUUAGGAAUGAAACAAAUAUAAUAUUCAAGAGAAUUUGGAAAUAGUUAGUGAAUCAUUUUCAGCCCAACACAUUCCACCUCAUUCAACAAAAAAAAAAA